UCGGACGGGUGAGUAAUGCCUGGGGAGCUGCCCAAUCGAGGGGGAUACCAGUUGGAAACGACUGCUAAUACCGCAUACGCCCUGAGGGGGAAAGGUGGGGAUCUUCGGACCUACCGCGAUUGGAUGCGCCCAGGUGGGAUUAGCUAGUUGGUGAGGUAACGGCUCACCAAGGCGACGAUCUCUAGCUGGUCUGAGAGGAUGACCAGCCACACUGGAACUGAGACACGGUCCAGACUCCUACGGGAGGCAGCAGUGGGGAAUAUUGCACAAUGGGGGAAACCCUGAUGCAGCCAUGCCGCGUGUGUGAAGAAGGCCUUCGGGUUGUAAAGCACUUUCAGUCAGGAGGAAAGGCGGCUAGCUAAUACCUAGUUGCUGUGACGUUACUGACAGAAGAAGCACCGGCUAACUCCGUGCCAGCAGCCACGGUAAUACGGAGGGUGCAAGCGUUAAUCGGAAUUACUG
rnacentral:rRNA from 1 species